UGGCUGGUUCCCACGCAGGCGCGAUUUAUGCAAAAGAAGCCCAUUUUUCCACGCUGAUUUGCUUUUGUCCAACACAUCUGCGGAGUGUGUACGGUGGACAGGCCCUCGGGAGGUGAUCUUGUGAACACUUGCUGAGGAUCCUUGAUGCCGAGUGCAGGAUGUUUCCUACCAGUUUGAAGCCAUGUCUGAAGGGUUCCGAGGUGGAAUGUUCUGCGCUGGCCGAUGGCGGCGUCGGGGGGGGGGGGGGGGCACUGCACCGCAUGCCCAUGGUGACGAGGAAACAGCUGACGCAGGCAACAACGGCAUAGACCAACAUCUGAAGGAUGACAGUGGAAAAAGUUUGGACACCCCUGCCAUAUGGUCUCCACAUCAAAGGUCCAUUUCCCUACGAAGACCAUGCAUCCUGCCCAUCAACCAAUGGCCUCAGCAGCCAAGUUUGAUCACUCUAUGGAGGCUGUACACCCCUCCCAUCCCCACACCGCUGGCCCAUCACCAAAUGUCCACACCUAUGGUCCUUCACCCGGCGUACACAAUAGCUUGCUACCUGAAUCCACCUGAGAAUAAAAAGGCAGCUUUCCUGGCACCAGACAGGAGAGAUGCAGGCAACCCAUCUAUUGAGGACACUAUCUGUUAUCAACCACAGGCAGAAAAAUCAUGGACGCCAUGUGAUGGAAAAAAUGUGGGCAGAAAAAGAAGGAAUUGAAGAAGUCCUCUUGAAAAUAGGUAAGUAGCAUUCAUGAUGUCAUUGUUUUGUUGACUUCAACUUUGAACACAUUUUCUCCUUCUGCUAUUGUUUGUGCUCUUUUUUCCCUUUCAGAUCCGGUCCAAGUCAGAGUACUUCAAACUCUCUGCGACUUGGUUGGAGACAAAUACAGCGACGGCCCUCCUCAACAAUCGGGCCAGCAAGAGCUCUUUCCUGAGAGCGGCGUAUUCAUAUCAUUGUUCCGCCUUGCUGCCAUGAGACAUGCUGCAGAGCCCAAAUGUAGGCCUUUAUUUGGACCUCUUUUUUCUACGUGUCAAAAUGCUGUCCCUUUUUGACGCCCUGGAAACAAACCUGCAGGAACACCAAAGCGGAAAAAAGUGGAAGGAAUCCUUACGUAUGUCCUGAGAUGCAGUACCCUUCCUGAUUGGGACCAUAUUGAGGAGGUCAAGCUCAAGAAAGCUUUGGUAAACAAAAGUCAGGCCAGAGAGGGUUUGAAGUAGGCCCUUGUACCUGUCAAGUUCAUUCUAUGGUAGGAUGUUCAAUAUUUUGGUCUAGGUUUGCGCAGUAUAUGUUGUCAAAAAUGGCCCUAUGAUGUAGCUUUUAGUACCAGGUUAUACUGUGAUAAUGCAUAUUGAGCUGUGCUGUGCCAAGCAAAUUUGGCAGUGAUGCAACCUCACUAACAAGCUAGCGGCUAAUAUCCUUUUACAGUUCAAAGUUGUUUCCAAAUCCAAAAAAAAUGACGCAGUACGUUACUGCUUACAUAAUCAGGUAUAUUAGUAGCUUUUGUAACCAAUUUCAACAUGUUUCAAUGAUCAUUUGUGUAGCAAAUGUUCUAUUGUUAUGGCAGGAGGCUGUUCUAUUGUUUACAACAGUGUUUCUUAAUCCUAGGGCUGGGGCCCACUGUUUGGCUGCGAGUACCCCUUGGAAGCCGCCAAUAAAUAUCUGUUUCUUAGCUGUGGUCCGUCCAUAUGGGCCGCAAUGGUACUCGCUUGUAAUCCACUUUAGUGUAGAAGGACUCAUUCAGUGUUUAUAUUUCAUUUGGCCCCAGACCCCUCUGUAGUGGAACAUUCUGAGACCCCUCUGUGGUGGAAAAGUUGGUCGUGCCCCAAGGUUAAAAAUGUUAAGAAUCCCUGCUUUUCAAUGUGUGAUUAUUUUUUGGUAUGUAGACCAGUUCCAGACAGCACGGUUACAAUUUUAUAAAUGUAUUUCAGUUUUUGCUUGGAAUAUUUCAAAAAUGGAAAUGUUGUCAUUUACUCACCUUCUUACUGAGAUGAAGUCAAGUGUUUUUUGAACUAAGGUACCUGCUUUGCCCAACAAGGAGUUCA